rnacentral:sRNA from 12 species
CACGUCAGCGUUCAGGCAUUCGCAGAAUCGAAACUGCAAAAGUGACGUGACGUCCCAUAGACGCGGUUUACGACAUCUGCCGCGGUGAAAACCUGCAAGGCGUAUAGGGUAAACAAAUUCGGCGAAAGGCUGGUGGGGUGUCGUACCCACCGGUCUUUU